GUUGUGGUGCUUCAGUGGUUAAAGCUUUGAGUUAUAGAUCAGAAGGUCAUGUGUUCAAAUCCCAGCACCAAAC